AGCAGAGAUUUCUAAGGCAGUUCACUUCCUAUGGAGGAGGCUAGGAGGCUUCCCGGCUGCCCCCUUCCAACACCCCACCCCUCCACAUCAGGAACUCUCCUCAGGAAAGAAAAAUAAACAUCGUCAUCAGCACUAUGAAGGAUUCCAGGAAGUUUGACAUCAGAGAAUUUCUCAACUCUAAAAUGCUGGAAACUCCUGCCCUUACGCUGGAGGCCAUUUGGAUGUCCCCUUGUUAGUUUUGAGUAAAUGGAAGAAUCUUUUAACACA